CCUACGGGAGGCAGCAGUGGGGAAUCUUGGUCAAUGGGCGCAAGCCUGAACCAGCGACGCCGCGUGAGUGAUGAAGGCCUUCGGGUUGUAAAGCUCUGUGGGGAGAGACGAAAGAAUCGGUUCUAACAGGACCGGAGUUGACGGUAUCUCCUUAGCAAGCACCGGCUAACUCUGUGCCAGCAGCCGCGGUAAGACAGAGGGUGCAAACGUUGCUCGGAAUCACUGGGCGUAAAGGGCGUGUAGGCGGGUAGAUAAGUCGGGCGUGAAAUCCCUAGGCUCAACCUAGGAACUGCACUCGAAACUGUUUAUCUUGAGUGCCGGAGAGGAAAGCGGAAAUUCCUGGUGUAGAGGUGAAAUUCGUAGAUAUCAGGAGGAACACCAGUGGCGAAGGCGGCUUUCUGGACGGUAACUGACGCUGAGACGCGAAAGCGUGGGGAGCAAACAGGAUUAGAUACCCUGGUAGUCCACGCUGUAAACGAUGAGUGCUAGGUGUCGUGGGUAUUGACCCCCGGNGGUGCCGAAGCUAACGCAUUAAGCACNCCGCCGNGGAGUACGGUCGCGAGACGAAACUACAANAGAGUAGAGCGNGAGAGAGCGAGGACGACGACGAGGGAGGAGG
rnacentral:rRNA from 1 species